rnacentral:rRNA from 1 species
AUUGAACGCUGGCGGCAUGCUUUACACAUGCAAGUCGAACGGUAACAGGCCGCAAGGUGCUGACGAGUGGCGAACGGGUGAGUAAUGCAUCGGAACGUGCCCAGUCGUGGGGGAUAACGCAGCGAAAGCUGCACUAAUACCGCAUACGAUCUCUGGAUGAAAGCGGGGGACCGAAAGGCCUCGCGCGAUUGGAGCGGCCGAUGUCAGAUUAGGUAGUUGGUGGGGUAAAGGCCCACCAAGCCAACGAUCUGUAGCUGGUCUGAGAGGACGACCAGCCACACUGGGACUGAGACACGGCCCAGACUCCUACGGGAGGCAGCAGUGGGGAAUUUUGGACAAUGGGCGCAAGCCUGAUCCAGCAAUGCCGCGUGCAGGAAGAAGGCCUUCGGGUUGUAAACUGCUUUUGUACGGAACGAAACGGUCCGGGUUAAUACCCUGGGCUAAUGACGGUACCGUAAGAAUAAGCACCGGCUAACUACGUGCCAGCCGCCGCGGUAA